AGUCACGUUGAUGAGCGGUGAUUGUGAAGGUGAUUGUGGUGGUGAUGGUGGUGCUGACGCGUCCUGUGAUUGGAUGAGGCGAUUGAUGACGUCACGAAAAACGUACAAUUAGCGGAGGAUAAUGAGGACAAAGAAAGAGAGAAUGAGGAAGGAAGAAGAAAAAGAAAGAAUCGCAUCGAGAAAGGAAAGCAUAAUAGAAGAGUUACUCCUGGUUCGUGUGGCUUCGUUUUCUCUGAGGCGGACAGCAAUGAAGAAAAUGGUUGGCGCGUGUAACAGAUGGGCGGGUCAUCGUCUGGGGGGGCGCCAGCUGGCCGGGAUGAACCAGGGCCCCCAGCUGGCUCCCCUGUCGCCCUGCCUCGCCCCUGUCACCGCUGCCCUUCCUUAUCUGGGUUAACGUCACUCAUCCGUCUGAGGCCAAAGUGGAGAACAAGGUUAUGGGCCACGGACUCGCGUUUUCUCGAGCAAAAUAUACGAAGAAAGUCGUCUAAGUCUCCCUUCCUCUGCCAAGUUAAAAC